rnacentral:rRNA from 1 species
CACCGCGGUUAGACGAGAGGCCCUAGUUGAUAUUCUAGCGGCGUAAAGGGUGGUUAGGAAUAACAAACAAUAAAGCCGAAUGGCCCCUUGGCCGUCAUACGCUUCUAGGCGUCCGAAGCCCUAAUUUUACACGAAAGUAGCUUUAAUACUAGCCCGACCCCACGAAAGUUAAGAAA